UCCAUUUUAUAUGGAUGGAAAGAUAAGACAUAGGCCUACAACUUUUAUGUGGAGCCCAAGAUUUAAAAAGGCCGUUUUCAAGUCCAAAUGGCAGCAACAACAAAGAAGUCCGAAUCUGUCCUACAGCCCAGACACUGUUUAGUUUUCAGCCCAUAUCUCGACUUCUAGAAGUCCAAAUGAUCUCAAAUUUUAACCCUGGAAAGAUGAGACAAUUCUCUAGAACUUUCAUGAUUGAAGUUUGUUCAGAUUAUGACGUCAUCAAUGACGUUUUGGGCAGACAAGAAGAUAAGGAUUGUCACCAAGUCAAGAUGUGGC
rnacentral:lncRNA from 1 species